rnacentral:tRNA from 1 species
CAAAAUGUAGCUUAAUCUAAAGCCCCUUGCUUACACCAAGACCCUGUCCGUUAAACUCGGAUCAUUUUGAG